GAUGAACGCUGGCGGCGUGCUUAACACAUGCAAGUCGAACGGAAAGGCUCCUGCUUGCAGGGGUACUCGAGUGGCGAACGGGUGAGUAACACGUGGGUGAUCUGCCCUGCACUUCGGGAUAAGCCUGGGAAACUGGGUCUAAUACCGGAUAGGACGAUGGUUUGGAUGCCAUUGUGGAAAGUUUUUCGGUGUGGGAUGAGCUCGCGGCCUAUCAGCUUGUUGGUGGGGUAAUGGCCUACCAAGGCGUCGACGGGUAGCCGGCCUGAGAGGGUGUACGGCCACAUUGGGACUGAGAUACGGCCCAGACUCCUACGGGAGGCAGCAGUGGGGAAUAUUGCACAAUGGGCGCAAGCCUGAUGCAGCGACGCCGCGUGGGGGAUGACGGCCUUCGGGUUGUAAACUCCCUUCGCUAGGGACGAAGCGCAAGUGACGGUACCUGGAGAAGAAGCACCGGCUAACUACGUG
rnacentral:rRNA from 1 species